rnacentral:rRNA from 1 species
AUGAUGAAGAAGCAGAAUGGGGAGGCCAGCGGCUGCACUCUGUACAGAUGUUUCUGCUGCUGGCGUCGUCUCUGCUCUCCCCGGAUCCCGCGCGUCGCCCCCGGCAGGGAUUACGUCUGUAUCCCGGCUGGCGCGGAUGACAGCCCCGAGUGGUCGCUGCUCGUCGGCUUACUCUCCGCAUCCGUCCCUAUGAUCUCCGAAGACAGUGUCCUAGGCCUGUACCGAUUUCGCGUCGCGCGAUCCGGUCGAAUUCUCGGCCGGAGCGACGAUGCCCUCGUCAACCUGUGCACCGUCGAAACCACCAAGGGCUGUAGCGGCAUCGCCAGCGCCACUGCUGCUCUUACCCCCGACGGCCGCUCGCUCUGCCUCUUUUCUGAGCACUUGGAUCCAGGCAAGUACUCGGCGACCCCACGAGCCCAGCAGCUGCGGCUCACCUACAGCAAGCCAAGAGACAAGCGAAAGAACAGGGGUACUGUCACCAUGUCGCAGCUGCCUCGCCUACCGCUGGAUUCUUCCAUGCAUUGCCGCCCCAUCUCGGCUGCCGGCCAUCUCUGGGCUCCAUACGUCUACUUGGAGUAUGUAGGCAAGUGCGUCCUCGGGAUGCAACGCUUCCGCAAGGACGCUGACCGGUGGGAGCAGGCCGGGGACACCUUCCCCUUCCACUACAAGAGCCAAAUGACCAAACUGUGGAAUGGCGACUUCUUGCAGGGAUGCGCCGUUCUCCCCGACGACACCAUCUUGGUGUCGCUGCGACCAGCUCAGGGCGUCUUCUUAACCUUCAAUUGCUCCGAUUGCACCUGGACCGUGGUCACCACCUCAGAGAACACACGGACCGCCUACGUUCCCAUCCUAGGCCAUGGUGUAUACAUAGAAGGAGAUGUUACUAAACAAGAAGGGAAGGAAAAGGAAAGGAAGAAGAAGAAGAUCAUCAUGGAAGUAAAAGGAAAAGGAAAAGAAGGAGAUGUUACUAAACAAGAAGGGAAGGAAAUGGAAAGGAAGAAGAAGAAGAAGAAGAAGAAGAAGAAGAAGAAGAACAUCAUGGAAGUGAAAGGAAAAGGACAAGAUGAAGAAGAAGAAGAAGAAGAAGAAGAAGAAGAAAAGAAAAAGAAAGAAGAAGAAGAAGAUCAUGGCGCUGUUUACUUCGUCCGUGACAAUCACAUCUUUGCCUACAAGCUGCGCUAUUAUCAAGAUCAGGAGGAUAAGCGAAGAAAGCUGAAGCUGGAGCCACCUGCCAGGAUUGAUUCUGUCUGUCCUUUCUACGAAGAAGGUUAUGGUUUCCUUGCGCACCUAGGUGGCCGUGUCAUGUGCUCCGUCUGGAUCAGUGUGGAUCUCUGCUGCCCAUGUGGCUAUCUACAUGUCAUCAUCAGCACCUUCCGAGUUAGAUCAACACGCGCUAAACAGAAAGGCAUUGAUAUCUUGCAUUCCACCUGCCGCCGCUUGCAUGCGUUCCCAGUUCGACUGCCCACUCAUGAAUUCUGCUUUCUACAGGAGUAUGUGGACAAGAAGACCAUACAACCUUCAAUGCAGGGGAACCUGGAUAAUCCAACCAGCUUUGAGGUCAUAGAAGACUCCAAAACCAGCUCUGCCGUCAUAGAAGAGUCCAAAAUGCUUGAUUGUUGCAGCAAUUUUCUAUCUGAAAAGCUUCAGCGAUGUUACAAGUUUGAGGAGCCUCCUGAGGACCCUGCUGUCCAGAUCAACAAAGAGCUGUAUAUUAUUUGCGAAGCUGCAUCUCAGUUAAUUGUGUAUGUGGCUAAAAUCGAGAAUGGAAGGUUGGGAAUUACAAAGAAAGAGAAUGGAAGAUUGGGAUCUCAUGACCAACUUCUCACUCAAAAAUUUGCUCUGACUAUAUCUGAUGAUGGCGGUGGUGAUUAUUUUGUUUUGGAACAACCUCCCCCAUGGCACCUUGUUUUUAGCAGUUGCAGCUCGAAGAUAUAUGCUGUCUCAAACACACACGAUGAUAUACUUUCCAGUUGGGUGAAGGAAUCCAAGUUGGUUCAGUGUACAAAGCCUACCUCUGAUCCUUUCUCUAUGGUUUUUGAAGUUGAUGACAAGAUUGUUGCUCUGAUGGACACUCUUCGUGUUUUCUAUCAUGAUAAAUCCAAAUGGGUGAGUUGCAGGCACCGCACAGAUGAAUCUCUUGUGCUGUACAGGGAGGUUAACCCGACCAGAUAUUCCAGGUGGAGAGAUCGGCCUCUUGUCCUGAACAGGAAGGUUCAAUUUUCUGGAUAUGCAGUACUUGGUGAUGAUUCCUUCAUAGUCUCGGAUGCUGCCACAAGUUCGUUUCUUUUGUUUGAUCUGCAUUCUGAAAGAUGGAGCGUUCUGCACCGUGCUUUGCCUGGAUCUCAACUCUUAAAUGGGAGAUCUGUGUUUGUUGAUGGUUUUAUCUACACAUGUACAAGUGGGGGAAUUCUCGCUUAUGAGCUUGUUGAUAAGCAAGGUAAUCGUAAGGGCCUCAGGGACCCCCCCAUCUUUCUACCGUUCUCGUGGCAGUUGUCAGAGUGUAGGGCUUGGGAGGCUGAAAGGAUGUGCUUUGAUUGUGUCGACAAAGACAAAAUCUCUGACGCGAUUAUAUUUUGUGUGGUGCAAGGUGAAUAUUGUUAUUCGGCCAAUCUUCCAGGCAGCCUUUCUCACAGCCAUGAUGUACACAUUACUACUGUCCAGGUUAAGACUGAAAGAGCAUGCAGGGGUAAAAGAAAACCAGAGAGAAUUGACCAUGUGGAUAUUGGCACCUGUUUCAUUGAGCAUGAUGCAGCACUGGUCUUGACCAAAAGUUGUUUUGCAGUUGGGUCUUGA